AACACAACAGGCUAGUACAGGUAAACCUGCAUACAGCACAGGUACAGGCCUACCAGGAUCUGUAAAACACAACAGGCUAGUACAGGUAAACCUGCAUACAGCACAGGUACAGGCCUACCAGGAUCUGUAAAACACAACAGGCUAGUACAGGUAAACCUGCAUACAGCACAGGUACAGGCCUACCAGGAUCUGUAAAACACAACAGGCUAGUACAGGUACAGGCCUACCAGGAUCUGUAAAACACAACAGGCUAGUACAGGUAAACCUGCAUACAGCACAGGUACAGGCCUACCAGGAUCUGUAAAACACAACAGGCUAGUACAGGUAAACCUGCAUACAGCACAGGUACAGGCCUACCAGGAUCUGUAAAACACAACAGGCUAGUACAGGUAAACCUGCAUACAGCACAGGUACAGGCCUACCAGGAUCUGUAAAACACAACAGGCUAGUACAGGUAUACCUGCAUACAGCACAGGUACAGGCCUACCAGGAUCUGUAAAACACAACAGGCUAGUACAGGUAAACCUGCAUACAGCACAGGUACAGGCCUACCAGGAUCUG